CUCGGUUUGGGAACGGCUUUGGUCUUGUGCACACUUCUGAUUUUCUGUCUCAUUUAUUUCAUACUGUGGAGAAGAAAACGUGAUAAAAUGAACACUUCUAUAGAAGGUUCUCCAGGAAUGAUGCAGCAAUCUGAUGCUGAAACACUGAAUUAUGCAGGCUUGCAGUUCACCAAGAGGAAAGCCGAAGCUGAAAAAAGAAAAACUGGCUCAUCGGAGGAUUGUGUGUACGCUCAUGUGAAAUAAAACUCUGUGUUCUCUGCAAUACAAUCAAUAAUUACAGGUUUUUAAUUCUGUACACAUGGUUAAAGAAUUUUUAUUCAUUUAUUUGUUUAUUUGUGCAAAUGUUAUCCUCUAUUAACAAUUAACACGCGUGGUAAAACGGAAUAAAAUUACUUUAGUAUUGCACCUACUGUAUGUUGACUUUAAUAAAAAUAAACAAGUGUUAAAAAAAAAGAUGUAAAUGAGCUCAAAUAGAAAAAUGAAUAGAUAAAUCAA